CAGCCGCGGCUGCUAACAGAACAGGCUAUUGGCAGGGACCGGAGGGAGGCCACGCCGCCGGGUUCUGCCAUCCCACUUUAAUGCCUAAUUCAACCUGCGGUGUCGGGACCUCUUCUCUCUCCGCGUGGUCCUUGCACCAUCCAAGGAGGCCCUCACUCCGUACUCUCAGGACAGCCAGGCUGGUUGGAAUAAGGGGUCUGGGUGGACCCAGGGGGUCCUGCCCUUUACGGUGACUUUCUGAAAGACACCACCGGUGUCUCGACAGUACAGCGCCUGGGGUGACAGGCGGGGAGCGGGUUUCGGUUACUAAACCGCUUACUUUUUUUCCGCCUGGUCAUCCGGAUUUGUUUCCUGGGCCCCCUCCCCCGCCCCUCCUCUCUUCCCUCCCGCCUUUAGCGAAGUGACACGGGCAACACCUGCUCGCUCGUGUUCGAUGUUGGAAGUCGCACCUUGUCGGUGGUGACGCCGGCCGCGUGCUGGGGGCAGGGGACAGCGGCGGAUUUGCCUUCCUUCCAGCCCACGAUGCCCAGGGGGGCAGCGGCGGGGCUGCGUGGGGCUCUGCCCGCAGCACUUCGAGGCGGGAUUGAGGGGCUGCAGCUGGCCAGGAGUUGCUGCUAAGUGGCCUGGGCGCAAAGCGUCCGAGAGAGAGGGCACCAGCUGGGACCUGUGUGCUAAGAGCGGGAACAAGGGGCAGGUGAUCCGAGGAGGCCGGCGUCUUGAGGGCCGAGGACCGCCGAGCGCAGAGCCGCUCUUUGCUGCCCCGAGCCUCGCCGGCAACUCCUCCGCGCUGGAGACCUGGGACCCGCGAGAGCCAGGGAACGGGAGUAGCCUGCCUGCUCUCCUGAAGGUGAAUCGUUCCGUCCAAUUGCCUUUCCCUCGAGAGCCAAAGGGAGGGCGGGAGAGAGGGACGGAGGAUGUGUGAGUGUGUGUGUCUGUGAGAGGGAGAGGCGACGCGAGGCGAGAGGAAAAGUCUACUCGGCGUCGAGAGCAAACGGAUCAGAGAUGGAAUAAGAGCUACUCGCUGCGAGACCGCCUCGAUUCUCGCAUUCGGGGGAGCCGAGCGCACCCCACGCACCCGCUGAGGACCGCGGGCGACCGCGGGCGCUGGCCAGGGCUGCGGGGCUCGGGCUUUUGCCUCAGUAAACACGUCUUUUGAUUACUUUGACACCGCGGAAGAGAGAGCCGGGAAGAGAGGCGAGGUUCAGGCGCGCCACCUUGCACCCGCUUUCAGGGGGGACUCCAGUGUGGAUGUCAAGAGAUUCCUGAGCCCUCUUUGCCAUCGCAGGAGGAAACACGCGCGCGCACACACGCGCGCUCAGGGCCACCCUCACACGCCCUCCACGAGCACACCCCACACCAGACGUGGGUUCCCUAUGCCCCUGAACGGCGACGGCGGAUUGGCAUCCUGGAAGCGAUGCAAGAGCGAUAAGGCUGGCGCGGGCCCGCGGAAGCUGCAGGAGCGUCGCUAGGUGUUGCCGCCACCAGGAAGCCGGGCUGCAGGAUGAGUAAGAGAUACUUACAGAAAGCCACAAAAGGAAAGCUGCUCAUAAUAAUAUUUAUUGUGACCUUGUGGGGGAAAGUUGUGUCCAGUGCAAACCAUCAUAAAGCUCACCAUGUUAAAACGGGCACUUGUGAGGUGGUGGCACUCCACAGAUGCUGUAAUAAGAACAAGAUAGAAGAGCGAUCACAGACGGUCAAGUGUUCCUGCUUCCCCGGACAGGUGGCAGGCACCACGCGAGCAGCUCCAUCUUGUGUGGAUGCUUCAAUAGUGGAACAGAAAUGGUGGUGCCAUAUGCAGCCAUGUCUUGAGGGAGAGGAAUGUAAAGUUCUUCCGGAUCGGAAAGGAUGGAGCUGUUCCUCUGGGAAUAAAGUGAAAACAACUAGGGCAAACGUGUAAAACUCUUCAAGUUCGAAUGGAGAAGUAGAAAAAGAAGGUUUCUGCUGUGCCUGAUGACAAUUUUUGAUUUUUCCACACUCAAAAAUAUUCUGGCUCCACGUUGGAGCACUAGUGUGGCGAAUCCUAGUGUUGGUCGGAUUCUAAGGAAGGGACAGAAGUUUCGUUGAGGAGUAAAGAUUCAAAACAUCUCCCGAAAUGAGCGCUCGUCUUGGUUUAUUUCUCACAGAGCAGGUAACCCAUUAACCAAGGAUAAAUCAAUCAAGUGAUCCUCAAGCCUGAUUACAUUCAACAUAUGCACAGAAACUUAAUUCCUGAGGUGAUCUUGAAGGGAGAUUUUUAUACCGCUCACAAGAGGCACUCCAGAGCUAUAUUUCCAAGGGAUUUCAUGGCUCAUAAUCAGCCUCUUCUUGAAACCAAGACUUUAAAAAAGUCUGACAUGAACUUCUAUGCCAUGAAGAUGUCAGAUUUGAACUGUGUUCAACUUGUAAAAUUGCACUUGCUAAAAGAAUUUGAAGUUCCCAUCUGAAGAGUUGGUGUUUCCAGGUGAUGUCACAGACACUCACCGUUUGGGUUUUUGGCUUCAAAUAUGACUGCUUUUCUUGUUUCUGAAAGUUUGCCAAGUGCACCAGCCUUCUGCCAUGGAUGUGUUCCUGGGUCCGGUCCUGUGUUCACUGGCUAGUGGGAAUGCACCCAGCUUUAUUGAUAUUUCCUUUGCAAACUUCUCCUUUGGCAUGGUGUAGACUGAGACAAUUUUAUUUGUAUCCUAAUCUUGGAGCUCUGAAAGCCUACAUGUUUUAACAUCUUAAAGUUGCUUUUGUUAAAGGAAUGGAAAUAUAUAUCCAUUGAUAAUAAUUAUUGCUGGCAAGUAAUAGUUAUCUGAAUACAUCAAUCAUAUAAGAAUGUAUAGACAAGCUGACAUGUUUCCCCAAGGCUAACAUUCUACUGCAGCUCUCUGUCAGUCAAAUAGGUAAUAGUUAGAACUGAAUUUCCAUUUUCAUUAUAUACUAUUUUGUACUUCUAGAGUACUCUCCCUUUCAGUUUUUUUUUAAGUGGGCUUUUUCUUUCAUGUUUGUGUUUACUUUUUUCCUUCACAGAAAUCAGCAGUGAGCAGUCAAAUAUGUAGGUAGCCUUCAGUUUCAAAAAAUUGCCAGGGAUGCAUGUGGAUAUCUGAUUUCUUAGCUUGAGUGUUACUCACUUAGAUUUCUUCUAGUAAUUUUUUUUUAACUAUACUUUCUAUCAUUUUAAUAGACUGCCCCUUGCUCGCUCCCAAUGACUGUUUGAAUGCUUAUAUAUUUGUUCAGUCUGUUAAUAGAAUUACUCAUUUUCCUUGGCAUCAAAUUUAUAAAUAUUUGCUUAUAGUUGUCCCAUUCAAACAAUUUCUUAGGUCAGUUUCUGUCCACAUUUUUGUAGUCAUUUUAACAUUUCUGUUUUUCAGUUCUACAGGAAAGUCUUACAAAUAUUUAUAAAGGCCUUAAACAUGUAUGUACUUUUUUCCUAAGUUAUUACAGAAUGUAUAAUUUUAUACUACAUUUGUUUCAUUUGUUAUGUGAAGGAAGAAUUGAAAUCUCAUAGCCAUUCUGUAAUUGGGAUGUAAAGGGAAAGACUUCUUUGCUUAGUCAUCUUAGACUAAUAAGAAGAUACUCCAGAAACUGUCCUAUUAGAAGUUCCAUUAUGUUAGACAAGAUAUGAACAUCUUUCGUAUUUUUAAAACUCACUGACAUGGCCAACUAGUUAUAUGUUGGCUUCCCUGAUGGGGGCUGACAUACCUUGGAGAAUUUUGGACUGUUGGUAACAAAUUUCAAAGACCAAUACAUUUCCCAGAAUGUCUCUGGGCAUAAAAAUUAAAAGUGUAAAAUCUGUUCAAAAUUAAAUUUGUAAAGUACACUUUUGGCACUGAAUCAAAAAGGACACUGCCCCACAAAUCCAUGGAAUGAAAUGACUUCUUCCCUCCCUUUUAAUUAUACAUAAAAUGAAUUAGAUGGUUCUGAGUGGAUUUUACAAUAGUUCAAGACUGUAUGAAAUCAGAAAGAAAGAACAGUUGUGCUGGAGUUUUUGCACCAAUUAUAAUAUCAUUAAUUUCUUUGGAACAGAGUUAGAAAACUAUUUUAUCUUGGAAAUUAUGAAUUCGUCCUAGGUUUGUUUGAAAUUGUAGAUCAUGCUUCUCGUUUUUUUAAAUGCGUCCUUUAAAACAACACUGGAAAUUCUGUAUUAUAUACAAGUGUGACACAUGCAUAUCAAUAGAAAAAAAUAAAUGGAAUUUCAAUUAUACUAACUAGAUUAUCCCCCAUAGAUUAAUGUUGUGACUAUUCAGAAAAGGUAAAUAAAAUUGGGAUAUAAAAUGGA